GGCUCAGUGGUCUAAUGGUAUGAUUCUCGCUUUGGGUGCGAGAGGCUCCGGGUUCGAUUCCCGGCUGAGCCC